rnacentral:rRNA from 1 species
UACGAAGGGGGCUAGCGUUGCUCGGAAUCACUGGGCGUAAAGGGCGCGUAGGCGGUGUGUCAAGUCAGGCGUGAAAGCCCCGGGCUCAACCUGGGAAUGGCCGUUGAAACUGGCGAACUGGAGUGUGGCAGAGGGGGGUGGAAUUCCGCGUGUAGCAGUGAAAUGCGUAGAGAUGCGGAGGAACACCGAUGGCGAAGGCAGCCCCCUGGGCUGACACUGACGCUCAGGCACGAAAGCGUGGGGAGCAAACAGG